rnacentral:siRNA from 1 species
AAGAGUGUGUGGGAUUGCCUCA